rnacentral:lncRNA from 1 species
CACUAUGGUUACCUCAACUAAUGUUUCAUGUCCUCCAUCACCCCCUAAAGUUCAAAAACCCCCCCAACAACCUUCCCCAAAACCCCCCCAACAACCUUCCCCAAAAUCCCCCCAACCACCUUCCCCAAAAUCCCCAACUUGUCCUAUAGACACACUUAAGUUUGGUGUGUGUGCUGAUUUAUUGGGUGUGGUUCAUAUUAUAAUUGGUAAGUCACAAUGUUGUUCACUCAUCGAUGGUCUUGCUAAUCUUGAUGCUGCUGUGUGCCUUUGCACUGCCCUUAAAGCUAAUGUGUUGGGAAUCAACCUUAAUAUUCCUAUUAACUUGAGCUUGAUACUUAACAAUUGUGGAAAGGGUGUUCCAAAGGGCUUCGUAUGCGCUUAAUUACUAAUUAGAGACACCACUACUUUAUAUGGUUGUGUCACAAUUUUCUUAAUUAUAUUCUUCAUUAUAUAGUGUGUGGAUUUUGUACUCUUUUGGUACUUAAUUGUCAUUUUCUUAUGAAUAAUACUUUGUAAUGGUUUGAAAUUGCCAUGAAUAAUAUUGUUGUGAUGGUUUUAAAUUGAAGCAUUAAUUUGUCUUCCUUUUCAAUAUCAAUACAAAUGGUGGUUUGUAUAGUAUUUCGUCUACGUAAAAUUUCUAGUAUCAAUAAGUAUUCUACGUUUAUGCAAAGAUUUGUCAUUCAUUCUGUUAUUUUAUUUUUGGACCUUUCCCAAUUAGUUUUCAUUUAUGCAAUGAAGCAGUUCUUGAUAUUAAUGUGUUUUUUUUUUUUUUUUUACAGAAAAAUAAGUAUAAUUCGAAUGUUAAAUAAAAAUAGUAAAAUUAAAUUGAUUAUAAAUUAAAUAUUUUCCAUCCAUAUUUAAUGUUAAGAUUAAAUUUAAUGAGCUAAAAAGAUAAAAAUAUAACAAUUAUACACAUAAGUAUUUUAAAAGCAGACAAGCAGACGAGUAGUAAUCAAAUUAAAACUUUAAUUUUAAUUACCAAAUUUAUUUAUCUACCUAUAACCAAUUUUCAAAAAUAACAUAAGAUUACAGUAUGUAAUAUCAUACAUAUUUGUCUGUACCGUAUAGAAUAAAAAAAAAUUGUGUAGAAUUUUUUAUUUAUAUAUUACAAUUUUAAUUUUAUAAUUAGGAAUAUAUAAAAAAUUGCGAAAGAUAAAUAAACCAUUUCAAUUUGAUUUUCUGUUUUGAAAAUUUUGGGAUUUUUUCUUUAAUAUCCUUUUGUUUCAAUUUUUUUAUUUAAAUUCACUACUUCAAAAAGAAAAUACUAAUAUGUCGUGCUUUUUGGAUUUUAUAUAAAUGAUUAAAAAUAAAACAAAUAAACAAUUAAUAAUAAUAAUAUAAAAAUAAUUAAAAUUAGUAAAAAACAAUACAAAAUUUUAUAGAGGUUGAGUAGAGUUAUUCGUAAUAUAGAAUAAUAAUUUGAAUUUUGAUCGGAUAACCAAUCUAAUUUAAAUUGUGGAUCUUAUAUCACUUUUACGAAAAUGCAUAUAAGAAUCUUUCAUUUGGUUAUUUUUCGGUAUUCAUUUUAAAACAUUGCAAUAAGAAUUAUUAAUUUAAUUGUAAUAAAAAUAUGUUUACUUUUUAAGGUAGAAAAAUAUUAUUAUUAUUAUUAAUAUAAAUAGGGAUAAAUAUAUUUUUAAUUCUUAAUUUUUUUUAUAUUUCAAUUUUACUUGCUAUAAAAUAAAAAUAUAAUUUUAAUCCUUACAAAGUUGUCGAUCCGGUAAGUAGUUCUAAUCUCUGUUUAAACAAAAUAUACUUAAUUGUUUUUCAACUUUAAAAAUUUUAGAAUGACUUUUCACACGUAUGUUUAUAAUAUUAUAAAAAGCUAAGUUCAUCCGCAUAAAUUUUGAAUUUUUUUUAUCUUGGUAUAAUUAAAUAUAAAAUUUUUAAAUAUAAAAAAUCAAGAUAAAAUGAACAAAAAUAUAGAUUUAAAAAUCUAAUUUUGAGCUCAUAUUUUGUGGUACAAUAUUUUUUAUAUUGUUGUAAAUAUAAUCGCAAAAAUUCAUUUAAAAAUAUAUGUUGACUUAACAACCUAAACUAAAACUACGUGUUGAUGUAGCUAAAUAUCACUAGAAUGAGGGUUGAAUAGGGAUUUUGCUGUUUAAAAUAAUUUCCAAGUGUUUUAAAAACUAUCCUCUUGCAGAGGAUGGCAAUCCCGAGGAUGGGUUUUUCAAAACCUUCAGAUUUGAACUGAGCUAAAGAGUGAAAGAGAAAUAUAAGAUUGACACACACUGUUUUUAUACUGGUUCACCCAAAGAUGGCUACUUCCAGUCCUCACACCCUUGUGAGAUUUCACUAAUGUUCAAACAGAUCAACCUCUGACCGAGGAUGAUUACAACUUGUGUAUUCUCAAGCUUCACCAAGCUUACAAUCAGAUUUCAAAUGUUUCCAAGUGUAUCUCACGUGGAAAUUACAGUGUGAUAAGAGAGUGAUUGAUUCUAAAUACUUUCUCAAAAGAUUAACAAAGAUCUAAUGUAGGAUUUGUAGAAAGUAUGAAGAUAUAAUGGAUGUUGCUUCUUGAAAGCUUUAAGAUCUUUGAUCUUUUUUAAUGCAAAGUGUUGUGUGUUGAUGAAGAUCAGCUUGCUGCAAUUUAUAGAGGUCUUGUAAUGUUCAUUUCAUGUGUCAAGCCUUUUAUGACCGUUGGAAAAUCCAUUUGAGAAAUGCCAAAGUUUUUCUUCAUAUUUACGAAAAUACCAUUCAACUCAUUAGAUAUAUGCAUUCCAUGUUCAAGUACGAAGUAGCUGUUUUCUUGGCACUUGGGGACACGUGAUGUCCUUUUCUCUUUCAUUUCUUUAAUGUUUGAAUAUUGUGUGGAGUCAUUUUCAUUCUCCUUUCUUCAAUGCCUUGAAAAAGCUUCACAUGUGAGCUUUUUCUCUUUCCUCCAUUUAAUGCAUUGUAAGAAUAUGUGAUGUCCUUUUCAUUCCUUUCUUCAAGACUUUGUGAAGGCUUCACGUAAAGGCUUUUUCUUCUUUCCUUACCUUAAGACAUAAUCAAUUUAUUUAAGACUUGUUUGUUGUUGCCUUUUUUGAAGAUUGACUUUAUAAUCCUUUUAAAUCACAUAAUAGUACAUGUAGCCUUUUGCCUAUGACAUGAUGAGUUGCUUUCAUAAAGUGUUGGGAAGCUUUUCAAGAUGUUGACUAUAGGCACAUGCUAAUAUCAUCAUUACUCGUACCUUUCUUUUGCAUUCUUGUUACUUUUCUUCAAAGACCUUUCUUUAAUCAUUUUUUAAUAGUAUUUUGCCUUUAUUGAAUGAAUCAAACAAUUCAUUCUUUAAUACUAUUCUGCCUUUGUUGAACGAAUUCAAAUAAUUCAUUCUUUUAAUACUAUUAUGCCUUUGUUUAAUGAAUUCAAAUCAGCGAGGAUGCAGAACUGCAGUUUCACCAGAUCGUGAGGCCAUCCUCGGCAUUUUCCAUACUUAGCAUUUAACUCAGAAUUUUCUUCUUUUUCCUUAAUGAAUGAUAACCUGUUUUCUUAUAUAAAUACACUCAAAAGCACAGAUUAGUCAUUAAACUCAAUCAUAAUCUUUUAAUUAAUUUUGUUAUCAUUAAAACCAAUUGAGAGAGAUUUUGUCUCAACAAUCUCCCCCUUUUUGAUGAUGACAAAAUUCUUUAGAUUAUGAUUUUUGUUUUAUGUAAGAAUGAAAUAAUUAAACUCCCCCUCAAUCAUACAAGUGAUAUUUUUGAAAUUAUGCAAUAUUGAGGUAAAUAGAACAUUCAUAAACACCUAAAAUAAAUUCCAGCAACUUAAGCAAAAUACCAUAGGUUCAUGAAUUCAGCCAUAACAUCCAGCAAACAUAAUUUGAGUUUAAACAACCAUAACAUCAGUCAGCAAAACAUAAUAUGAGUUUAAACAUGCUAUCAACAUAAGACAAAAUAUAAUACAUAAUCUGACUCCCCCUGAAUUAAGUCAACAUAAAAAAGUAUCUAAAAAAUUUAAAACAGAGUCAUUCAGCGGAAGAUGAAUCUUCAGAUGAUGAUGUAGAGUCGGGGUCAAAAGAGAACUGGGCCGGUAGCACAAGAGGUUGAUCAUUGGCAGCAGCUGAUGAACCCAAAUGUUUGGUAACCCAUUCCCGAAUGAGUCCAAACUGAGUGAUGGUUUUUUGAAAGUGAGAAAAGUUAACCAACAAUUUCUUUUGGUAUUUCCUAAUGGUCUUUAGAAGCUUUAAAAACCUUUUGUUAUCAGUUCCUGCCGAUUUCAUGCUUGUGGUUGAGUCAUCACGUGCCCUUUUGGAUUUUGAACUUUUAGCCUUAUCCUUGGAGAAAUUUUCAAAAUGUGGAGCCAAAUGAGAUUUGGAUUUUUCUUGUAAAUCCGGAUCAAAAUUAGAUGGAGCAAUAUUUGGAGAGAUAGGAGAAGAGUUCAGACUUACUUGAGAUGGUAAUGUGGAUUCUUCUGCAUGCAUGUUCCUAUGAGGGCAAGAAUGGUGAUCAUAUGAUACGUUCAGAUCAAAGAAUAAAUCUUCACCAUCCUUAACUAAAGGAGCGGCAGUGUGUGGUGAUAGAUUAUUACUGACUUGUGGAGAUUGAGGAAAUGUUGAGCCCGCAGAGUUAAAUGAGGGGGUGCGAGAAUGAGAUAGUGGAGAUGCUGACUUUUGUUUCUUUGAGGCAGUUUUCUUCUUCCUUGAGGUGGGGGUUUGUUCAGGCAGAUCAAUGCGCAUUUGUUUGAUAUUUUUCAUAGAAAAGAAAUUAUUGCACUAAAUACUCUCUUCAUCAUCAAGGGGUACCUUAAAGAACUUAAAGAUUUUGGUCAAGAUCAUCCCAUAGGGAGCUGAUCGACCCACAAUGGCAGCAUUCAACAUGUAGCUAAAUAUGAUAUUGCCCAUAUGAAGGGGUGUUCCAGUCAACAGAUGAUGAAUAAUCAGAAUAUCAAGUUCGGUUACCUUUUCAUAACUCCCAGCUCGAGGCACUAUCGAGUGAACACAAAUGUUGUGAUAAAUCCGACACAUAGGAGGAAGGUUUGAGGCUAUGAGAGGUUUAUGAGGAUCGAUCAUGAUAUUUUGAAGAACUGAAGUUCGAGUGACCAUAUACUGCAUAUACCAAGUUUCAGCAAAACAGUGGGCUCCAGCAUCUUGUAUGUCAAGGAUUUUGCAUAGUGAAGUGGGGUUUACGUCCAAGUGUACUCCCUUAAGCACAAAACUGAAACCAGAGCUUCCUUUGCAGCCAUUGCAUGCAGCAUAGAAUGCCUUUACCAGCCGUGGGUAUUGCGGUUCAUUCACUCUAAAAAAGGAGGUCCAUCCUAACUUAUCAAAUACUUCUACAACAUUAAAGCUACCAUUUUUCAAAUUGAUUAGGUCAAUGUGCUUGCCAUGAACCACAGAUUUGUUAAACCAUCUUGAGGUGUAAUUUAACUCUGAAUCUGUGGAGUCAAAAAGAGGAACAAGAGUUGGUUUGGAUGAACGAGAUUUCUUUGGAGUCGGUUUACCUUGUUCAGAUGAUUUGGUUUUUGACCUUUUUGGAGUGGAAGGUUUGGAGGAUGAUUUAGGGAUCGAUUUAGCCGAGGUAUUUCCUUUGGAAUCGUCCGAAUCAAUCACAUGCACAGUAGAGUCUUGAGUAACCUUUUUGUUUGAAUGGACAACCCCAGAUUGAACUCUUGAAGAUCGUCUGAUUGAGGCAGUGAGUUUUGACGAUGAGGGCUUUUUGGUUUUUUGAGAAGGAGGUUGAGGAGGUUCCCUAGGAGGAGAUACUGACUUUUGUUUUAUUCCUUGUCCAGCGGAUUCAGAACUUGAGUAGUUUUGUGAGUCAGUUUCUGGAUCAAAAGGAGACAUUUUUUGCUUGACAGUAGUUUUGAUGCGUGCCAUUUUUGUUUAGAGGAAGAAAACGGACGAGAAUGAGAUUCGUAGUGAAGAGAGAGAGAAAGGGAAACUGAAUAACUUGGGAGAGAGAACCGUAUGGAAGAGAGAGAGAGAGAGAGAGAAAAAAUUAAACACAGAGAAAGAAUGAAUUAAAACGGAGAGAAUGAAUUUGAACGGAAAAAGAAAUUAAUAAAAACGGAAAGAGAAAAAUUAAAUGAGAGAGAGAGAGAUGUGAGUGGGAAGUUGAAAACGUGAGAGAGAGGGAAAAAAACUGAUUGAUUGAUGGAGAGAGAAAAAAAAAUCAGAAACGUGAGAGAGAGAGAGAGAGAGAGAGAGAGAGAGAGGAGACAUGAGCCGUUGAUGAUGCGUGAUGAUGAUGGAUAGGGAAUCAUGAUGGACUGCAUUUAAUGUAGUAUGCUCAUUUAUGAGGAAUGAGAAGUAUCCAACACGUGCCAACCAUUUGACCAAUGGAUAAAAGGAGGCAUGCGCAUGGCCUUGACUGAUUUAUCAAGAGGAAGUUUCACCUAAAAGUGCCUAAAGUCUUCCUAUCUAAUUUUUUGACUUUAUUUGAGGGAUCAGAUUUGCCAUAUAUUUGCCACACAAAAUUAAAAUAAUAAAAGUCAAAAAUAACAUUAAAAAUAACAAAUAAUAAAAAAUAAAAUUAAAUAAAAAAUAACAGAAUUAAAUUAUUUAAAUAACUUUGGGAAAAUUUAUGAUGGAGAGUUCUUCUAAGAUGAAUUUAAACCGAUCCUCCUGGAGAGGUUUGGUAAAAAUAUCAGCCAAUUGAUUUUCAGUGUCAAUGAAAAUUAAUUAUAUAUCACCCUUUUGAACAUGAUCUCUUAUAAAAUGAUGUUUAAUUUCAAUAUGCUUAGAUCUUGAAUGUUGAAUGGGAUUUUUAGAAAGAUUAAUGGCACUUGUAUUAUCACAGAGGAUGAGAAUUUUUGUGUACCUUAAAGAGUAAUCUUCUAGUUGAUUCUUUAUCUAUAGAAGUUGUGAGCAACAUUGAGCAGCUGAUACAUAUUCAACCUCUUUAGUUGAAAGAGCAAUAGUACUUUGUUUUUUGCAUGACCAACUUAUUAGAGAUUUACCCAGAAGUUGGCAAGUUCCGCUUGUGCUUUUCCUUUCAACUUUAUCUCUAGCAUAAUCGGCAUCACAAUAAGCAAUGCGAUCAAGAUUUGAGCAUUUUUUGUACCAAAUUCCCAGAUUAAUAGUGCCCACAAGAUAUCUAAAAAUCCUUUUUACUGCAGUAAGAUGAGACUCUUUAGGAGAAGAUUGAAAUCUUGCACAAAGACCGACUGCAAAGACUAUGUCUGGUCUACUGGCUGUUAAAUAUAACAAGGAUCCAAUCAUCCCUUUAUACUCUUUUUUCAGAUAUUGGAGUUCCUUCAUCAUCUUUGUGGAGUAUCGAGGAUGGAUGCAUAGGAGUUCCCAUACUUUUGGCUGAACUCAUUUUGUAUUUGUUGAGUAGAUCCUUGGUGUAUUUUUCUUGAGAUAUGAAGAUACCAUCAUCUCGUUGUUUAAUUUGCAAACCAAGGAAGAAUUUUAAUUCUCCCAUCAUACUCAUCUCAAACUCACUUUGCAUGAGAUUGGAGAAAUCUUUGCACAUUACUUCAUUUGUUGAUCCAAAUAUUAUGUCAUCGACAUAAAUUUGAACAAUCAAUAAAUCUUUCUCAUGAGUCUUCUUGAAAAGAGUUGUAUCAAUUUGACCCUUAAUGAAUCCAUUCUCUUUUAGAAAAGAGCUUAACCUCUCAUACCAAGCUCGAGGAGCUUGCUUUAAGCCAUAAAGAGCUUUUGAGAGUUUGAACACAUGAUUCGGCCUCUUCAUAUCUUCAAAACCAAGAGGUUGACGAACAUACACUUCUUCAUUUAAGAACCCAUUCAAAAAGGCAUUUUUGACAUCCAUUUGAAAUAGUUUUAUACCUUUAUGAGUAGCAUAAGCUAAGAGGAUUCUUAUUGCUUCUAGUCUUGCUACGGGUGCAAACGUUUCAUCAUAAUCAAUUCCUUCUUGUUGAUUGUACCCUUGUGCCACUAGUCUUGCUUUAUUUCUAAUGACUUCUCCAUCCUCAUUUAGUUUGUUUCUAAAUAUCCAUUUAGUCCCAAUAAUGGAUUUAUCCGGAGGAUGGGGUACAAGAUUUCAUACCUUGUUUCUUUCAAAUUGUGAAAGUUCUUCCAUCAUAGCUUCAACCCAUGAUUUGUCACCAAUAGCUUGAUCAAUCAUUUUGGGUUCAACUUGUGAUAUCAUGGCCAUGUUGGUAGUGUUUUCCCUUAGAGAAUUUCUGGUUAUAACACCAUCUUCAGUAUUCCCAAUGAUUAGAUCUGGAGGAUGAUGUGUGACUGUUCUCCAUCCUCUUGGAGGUUGCUGUGAGGUUGGGUCAGACUCAUCCUCAUCAUGAGGACCGGGUACUCGAGAGGGUGAAGGUUCAUCUUCUUCAUUUUUAUCCAUUUUUUCUAAACACAAAUUAUCAAACUCAUCAAAAAUAAUAUGCAUGGAUUCCUCCACAGUUUGAGUCUUAAGAUUAUAUAUUCUAUAACCUGUUGACGUUGUGGAGUAUCCUAGAAAAAUUCCUUUAUCAGAUUUUGGAUCAAACUUUCGCAAAUUUUGUUUAUUAUUGAGAAUGUAGCAAUAACACCCAAAAAUAUGAAAAUAAGAAAUAUUUGGUUUUCUCCCUUUCCAUAACUCGUAUGGAGUUUUGUUUAAAUUUUUUCUAAUGGAUGCACGAUUAGAAACAUAACAAGCAGUGUUAAUGGCUUCGGCCCAAAAAUAUUUUUUAAUAUUGGCUUCAUUUAAAAUGGUUAUAGCCAUUUCUUGUAAAGUUCUAUUUUUCCUUUCAACAACCCCAUUUUGUUGGGGAGUACUUGGACAAGAAAAGUUGUGAGAAAUACCGUUUUCAUUACAAAGAUUUUUAAAGGAUUCAUUUUCAAAUUCACCCCCAUGGUCACUUCUUACAGAGACAAUUUUUGAUCCAUUUUCGUUUUGAACCUUUUUGCAAAAAUGGUGGAACGCCUCAAAGACUUCAUCUUUAUGUUUCAAAAAUAAAACACAAGUAAAACGAGAAAAAUCAUCAACAAUGACAAAGCCAUAUCUUUUACCACUAAGACUUGGAGUUUUGAAAUAAUAAAAUUUUAAAAAAUAUUUAAAAUGAAAAAUUAUUUUCAAAAACUUAUCAUAUAGAAAAAUAAACAAUUUUUACAAUAUUUAAAUAUUUAAAUUAUUGAAUCUUAAAUUUGUUUUAGUCGGUAAAAAAUGCAUCCAAAAUAACUUGUUUUAUUUUGAAUUAAAUUUUAGUGUAAUUAAUUUUACAAAUAUAAAACUAAAAUCAUAAUUUUGAAAAUUUAUAAAUGUUAGUAAAAAGAUAUUUAUCUCAAAUGAACCCGAUAUAUUUGUAUUCCCUCGAUUGAGAGCAUAUUUCCUCCUUCCAUGUUGAUUUGGUAAGUGCUAUGUAACUGAUCUUGACUAUUAAGUUUCCACCCAAUGGCCUUUCACUCAGUCACUCUCCCUAAGCCUCCAAAAUAAACCAAUUAUUUUAUAGUUUGACUCCUUAACUUAAUUUUGAUCUUUUAAUAGUUUUUUUUUAUUAUGUUUUGGAUCCUUAAUUUUACUUUUGUUAGUUAUAUUAGUCUUUUCUAUUUUCUUUUUAAAAUGAAUUAUUUUUGUUAGUUUUCAUCCCAAAAUAUUAAUGAAAUAAAACAAAAAAUAAGUUUUUUAGUUUUUUUAGUUUGACUUUUGUAAGUCAAAAUUACCUUUUAUUUAUUUACCUUAAAUGAUAUGUAAAUCAAAAUUAAUGAAACGAAAUCUAACAAAAAGACUUAACAUUGAUAUUACUAUUAAAAAUAAAGUCAAGGAAACAAAAAUGAAUAAAAAAAGAAUUAAGAAAUUAACAUGAAAAUACAAAAUAAGUUAAAGGUCUAAAUAUUUAAUUUAUUUGGUUUCAAUUGCAUUAAAUAUAUUUAAAUACCAAUAAACUCAUAAAACCUUCCCUAUAAAACCCCCUCUCAUUCCUCUUCAAAAUCAUCACUCAACACACAUACCAACCAAGAGAAUAAGCACAAUCUAAAAGCCAUUAAUUAAUUAGCACAUCUUAAUUAUUAUUCCAAAUGGCUUCAAAAAUUGCUAUUCUCCUUUCCAUCAACAUCCUAUUUUUCACUAUGGUUACCUCAACUAAUGUUUGUCCUCCAUCACCCCCUAAAGUUCAAAAACCACCCCAACCACCUUCCACAAAACCCCCCCAACAACCUUCCCCAAAAUCCCCCCAACAACCUUCCCCAAAAUCCCCCCAACCACCUUCCCCAAAAUCCCCAACUUGUCCUAUAGACACACUUAAGUUUGGUGUGUGUGCUGAUUUAUUGGGUGUGGUUCAUAUUAUAAUUGGUAAGUCACAAUGUUGUUCACUCAUUAAUGGUCUUGCUAAUCUUGAAGCUGCUGUGUGCCUUUGCACUGCCCUUAAAGCUAAUGUGUUGGGAAUCAAC